GUUGCCCUGUGUGUUGUGCCUUGGGCUCCACCGUGGGGAGAAAGCGGGUUAGCUUGGCAACUGCACCAUGUAGUGAAGAGGACUUGGAGCAGUUGAAAACAAUCAUCCCAAGUUGGUUGAGCAAUGCCUUCUCAAUCCCAGGCUUGCACCACACUGUCAAGUUGAUAAUUGACUUGAAUACUUACUCCUUCCUCUGCUGUCCAGUGCUGGGAAGACAGUUCUGCAGCUCCUUCCAGGCUGGGCCUUGACUGAAUACAGUGACCUAUGAUGAUUUACAUAUCGACUUCACUUGGAAAGAAUGGGCUUUGCUGGAUCCUUCCCAGAAAAAUCUCUACAAAGAUGUGAUGCU